rnacentral:rRNA from 1 species
AAACUGAGAGUUUGAUCCUGGCUCAGAACGAACGCUGGCGGCGUGCCUAACACAUGCAAGUCGCACGGGGGUCCGCGGCUUCGGCUGCGGCUCCAGUGGCGGACGGGUGAGUAACGCGUGGGAAUCUGCCCCGGGGUGGGGGAUAACCAGGGGAAACCCUGGCUAAUACCGCAUACGUCCUUUGGGAGAAAGGUCUCCGGAUC